UACGAAGGGGGCUAGCGUUGUUCGGAAUUACUGGGCGUAAAGCGCACGUAGGCGGAAUGUUAAGUCAGGGGUGAAAUCCUGGAGCUCAACUCCAGAACUGCCUUUGAUACUGGGGAUCUCGAGUCCGGAAGAGGUGAGUGGAACUCCGAGUGUAGAGGUGAAAUUCGUAGAUAUUCGGAAGAACACCAGUGGCGAAGGCGGCUCACUGGUCCGGUACUGACGCUGAGGUGCGAAAGCGUGGGGAGCAAACAGG
rnacentral:rRNA from 1 species